GACGUUAGCGGCGGACGGGUUAGUAACACGUGGGUAACCUACCUAUAAGACUGGGGUAACUUCGGGAAACCGGAGCUAAUACCGGAUAAUAUUUCGAACCGCAUGGUUCGAUAGUGAAAGGUGGUUUUGCUAUCACUUAUAGAUGGACCCGCGCCGUAUUAGCUAGUUGGUAAGGUAACGGCUUACCAAGGCACAUACGUAGCCGACCUGAGAGGGUGAUCGGCCACGCUGGAACUGANACACGGUCCAGACUCCUACGGGAGGCAGCAGGC
rnacentral:rRNA from 1 species